rnacentral:piRNA from 1 species
UGGACUUACACUGUUGCAGUACCUCAACUGU